AGAGCAGUGAAUGCAGGCAGUCAGGAAAAGUGGGACCUCCAGGAAAAUUCAAGGAGUACAGGGAAAAGGCAGAGCCCUGGAAAGGAGCCAAAUAAAUCUUGUUGAGGAAAAAUAAAUAUCUCUGUUGGAUGUCAUUCAGAGAUACUGCUAUGUAGCUGGUAUUUCCCAAUGAAGCCUGUGAACUGAGCAACUGAAGCCUCCUGCAACAUCAGUGACUGCUUGGAGCAGAGAAAACUGAAUCAGUGUUCAAAAAGAAAAAAACAUGUCCAUAGCUGCUGACCUCACCCAGCAGCAUGAGCAGUACGACAGAGGACCUUCUGUGAGGACAAGUAAGCAUCAGUGGGGCCAUCUGCAUCUUUCUCCUCCCUCCAUGAAAUCAAGGUAUAUUAGAUAUCCUUGCUGAACAUGUGGUGUUAAAAGAGACAACAGAAGCUGCCCAGAAAUGCCACCAAGAGCAAAAGCUGCACAAAGGACAGCAGAAAGCUUCAGAACUUUGGGUGAAAUGCAUUUGAGAGCCUGAACAGACACUUCAGAAUCGGAAACUGCCCAAAUGUUGUAAUGGAAACAGGGCCAGGAUCAUUAUAAGCCUGGGUCAAUAAGGUAUGGCCAUGAUCUAAGUACGUUCCUAUGGUCCAAUAUGACAAGAUGUGACCAGAAUUAAGCACCUACUCAAGUCAAAACAUGAAUAUGUGAAUGACUUUGCUUAGAGAAUGGAGAGUGGCUCAGUUAAGGUUAAAAUCAAACACAGUCCCCACCGAACAAUAUGCGUCCAUCACUGCCAGCUACUUGUACUGCUGAAUAAAGCUGUCAGAUGCUGAGCCGGGCUGAAAAGAAACAUUCAUCAGGAUCCAAAGCAACGGACAAGAAGAGCACAAGUGGAAAAUUCAUGUUUCCUGUUUGGAUAAAGCCUUUCCACUUAUCCCAUUAUUCUAAGAGGUUUGUCUGGUCUCAUUUUGCUGGUAGCCAUGCACAAAACGCCGAGGUUCCGGCUGCAGGUUCCCUGGUGGGGCAGUAACGUGCCAUAAGCACCACUUACGGCACUUUACUGGUGAUGGCCUUUGGAGACUGGCUUUUAGCAGUGUAUUCAGGAAGAGAAGUGGGAAAUGACCAUGGAAAUUACGCAGCUUGCGAGCUCCAGCUUCCUUUCAAAUGACUUCGCUACACAAAUUUCACUUUGCAGUAUAUCAAUAUAUAUACAGCAUCUUUCCUUGACGCUUAAAUGGACGCUGUAUUUUUCUUCUGGGAUCUCCAUGCAUAGAAAAACAAACAAAAUCUGCACACUCAGAAUGCUCAGACCUGACUGCCUCCUGCAAAAAUGAGCUAUAGGGUAACCCAAGAGAUAAUCAUCGGAGGAUAACUGCGUGUUAUCCCCAUGCAAAACCCCUAUCUGCAUUCGAAAGGGGGAGCUGCAGAAGCUGCUAACGGUCCAGAAACAUCCUGAGGACACAAAAUUUGCCUUCACAAAACUCCUAAAGAAAGAUAACGGAUGGAAACCUCAAAGAACACAAAACCCGGGUUUUCAGGGUUUUUUAGCUGCACGUGAACGAACCGAAGUACCAGAUAAAGCUCAAUUAUCCUUUAAAGCUUACCUUUUGUUGUCGUAGUUGUUUGUAAGCCACGCAGCUGUUCUCCAGAACACCACCUGCAAGAACCUGCACGCGGAGCGUUCCGUCUUUGCAGCGUCAGUAAGAAUCAAGGGCAAGAGUUUGCUGGGAGUUUCUAACUUUCAAAAUGUUCAAAGAGAGAUUCACCUGAUUGAAAAGCUGCUUUCCCAUUAUUUAGUGCAGAAAACUGAAAAAGAUAUUGUAAUUAAGCUCAGGAGAUCAAUUAGCAUGUUAAACAACCACACGCGAGAUUCAAAACGUUACUCGCGGGUCAGCCAAUAGAAGAGAGUGCUCACAGGUGGAACUUUCUAGACUUGAUGAUGGUGCAGGGACAGCUGAACCUGUGGGCCUGAGCACCCAGCUGCGAGUAAUUGCGCUACAAAUCAGGGCCUGAAUAUAAGUUCCCCCCUGGGGGGUUUGACUUUUGUUUGUUCGGAGAACUGAUCGGUGUGAAGUUGCUCCCCCGGGAUGCCGUCAAGCUACGUUUUGAGCUGGAACAAGAUUGGGAAAAAGAUGGUGGUUUGACCACGAGGAUUGCUCGAGAAUGAAGGGGGACUACUCCGGAUGGGCUGAAAUGGGAAGGCUCCAUCUCAGAGGAGUGUUCUGGCGAUCUACCUGGAUAGGAACUGGAUUCUGCAGUCCUGAGUCAUGGUCAUGAGGAGAAGAGCUGUAAUGCUGUGAUACAGAAUUUCCGAUCUCUAACCUGAGCAGACGUGGCCUGCUUGUCAGCCUGGUCGCAAGGCAGCUCAGAUCCCGGCUUGGAUGCUUCAGGGUCACAGCCUCCAUCAGAUGAGCACAUGGAGGGAUGCAAAGACGGAAGAUGCCUCAUCUGCUGGGAAAUUCAACUACAACUGAAAUAGCUCAUCAUAAGCAAUAGUGAGCAGAGUGAUUACGGUCAAAAACGCAACACAGUGAGUGAGUAAUGCAUGCAGCUCCAGCUCUUCCCUACCUCUUAUGGACGAUGGGAGGUUGAAACAGCUCAUCUUUGAGAACUUUUGUUCCUGGUUUUGGGACACUUGAAAGAGAGCAUCUCCCAGUGGCAAAGAUAAGAGCCCACGUCCUUCCUGUAUCCUGUGGCUAUGCAUUCUCAGCCACAAGAGUCAGCAAGUCCCCUUCCAGAGGGAAGCGAUUUGGACAAUAACAUCUCAGACUGAUGCUGCUAAUCUGCCCUUACCCAAGGGAAGUGGGUGAGGUCAGAAGACGGGGAAAGACUUGUCUGCUGUCAGGAUGAUGGUGAAACUGACGCAUCAAAUAGAGCUGAAUGCUGCUGUAAAGUGCCUAGGGUCCCAACCUGUGGAAAUCGAAGUCUCUGAGGAUUCCUAUGUGAUCAAAGGCUGGAUUUCACUUCUCAAAGAGUCAGCUUUUGAGCAUUCCUUUGUGGAGCUGCAAGAACAUAAAGUCAUCACAGAGAGCCUCGUUAAAAGUGUUUAAUGAGAGCAGUGUGAUCCCACAGCCCAAGGGUCAGCAUGAGAGCAAGGACAGCCCAGAAGCCUCGUCCCACCAGAGCCGGGUAUCAUCAGGAGACCCCAUUCACCGAGGGACACAUUGACUGCUGUCACCAACACCCAGACAGGCACAGGAGACAAAGCAACCCAAGAGAACUGCAGCUGGGUAACAACGCCAGUGCGAAUUUCUCAGCCCAGAACAAGCCAAGACUCACUUCUGGCCAAAAUUCCUGCACUAAUGCUAACCACCAUCUGAUUACAUGAUUUUCCUGAGAUCCUGAUGCAAGUCGUUGUCACAGAAAGGGCUCAUGUGGGCACACUGCAGCCCAGGUUCCCUGCUGCCUACCUCUGCCUCUGGUUGGUCCGGUGCCCCGAGCAGCCCCAUCACCUGUGCUCUGCUCCCUGCUGGAAAAACAUGCUCGUUUUCAAAGGUGUGUGGCUGGAGCUGUGCUUGGGACAAAUCCGAAUGCUCUCUGCCUGGGGAGCAGGAUGGGGCUGAGGGGAAGAAAAGCAGCAGUUAAUGCAAAAGAAGAGAGAAGGAGAUUUUUCCAUGCAGUCAACAUGUUGCAUGUGCACGGCCAGAGUUCUCGUGAACCAAAAACCAAUUCACUGACUGAGGAAACUCCUCCCCGUGUUGGUUCAUUCCCUGUGCUGCACAUCUGCUUCUGGAAGCCAUGACCCACUGCUCAUCCGCCGGGCUGACAGCACACCAAGUCCUGCCUAAAUGCAAGAACCUCAGAGCAUCAGUAGGACAUCCCACCCAGCCAAAGAACCCGGAGGAAACUUCUAAGCUUGUAUGAGUCACUCAUCAUCUCAAGCAGCAUUAGAAGGAAAUUGCCUUAGGGCACUGUCAUCACCAUUUGUGAGUAUUUGUUGACAGCAAAUGUCUGUGCUACUGUUACGAACCUCAGGCUGGGCUAGGUUUGAACCUAAGAUCACCACUUUUAGCACUUAUACAUUGGCCAGCUGGGCUGAAAAAUGGAGAAUUCAGCAUCACCAGAAGCUGGCAGUUGCCUUAAAGUUAAUGUGCAUCUGCGCAUAGCCUUUGCCAGCAACAAAUGCAGAGUGAUGGGCUUAGCUUAGUUGAGAACAAAGUAUUCUUACAUCCCAAUGAACCUGAAAAGAGGGAGGUGAAAAAAAAUACCAUUACUGAUCUGGAACUAGAUGUUAGCAGGGGACAAAACUGCAAAUAGAUAUGCACACACACACUUCUGCCAUUGUUACACAAUCUUUCACAGCUACCAACAAUCUGCACAUUAUCCCUGAGUCUAGUUCACGUUCCCAUGAUCUGAUGGCAUCACCAGGAGAGUGCUUAUGUGUUCCAGCCAGGGCAAGCAGCACAGACUGGAGGCUUCCCAGGCAAGAAUAAGGUUGAUGCGUGUGUCACCUAAAAGCCCCCCUUCCACAUAUCUCACUCUAAGACAUCUCCCUGAAUUUACUGCCUACAAACCAACUGGCAAGCAGACAUUACAGCUUUUCCUAAAAUUUAGGUGAGCAGCAGCAAGGAGGUGGCUGGGCCAUUGCCUCCCAGCUCUUCCUCCAGGCUGCUCAGCUCAGUCUGUGUAACCUCAUCAGCAUCCUAGCAAAAAGCUAUUUUUGCCUCCUAAACAAGCACAAGAAAAACCUUGGUUGAAGCAGAAUGGAAAAGAGCUUCAUGGCUUCCCUGGAGAAGGGGAAUGCAAGAUGGUGGUUGGUAGCCAUCUAUCCCAUCUGUUGGAGCCUAGACCCAGUUUUGUCUAAAGAUCCAUGGACAAAUUUGAUGUGCUCACAAAGGGUGGCUGAGAUCCUAGCAGAGCUGAAGUUGACUUCAGACCUGGCCAGCCCAAGCAGAGGACAUUGCUGUUGUUUAAAAAUGAUACUCAUUAAGAGCAGAAGUCAGGCAAUGAUCACCUUCUGUAGUUGAUAAUACUCAAGGAGGGAGAUGGUGGAAAAAUGAAACCUUGGAAAAUAAAACUUAUUUGGCACCGCUGAUUAAAACCAGUUUGUGUUUCAUUGUUAAAGGCUGUGUUUGCUCAAGGUUUAUUCAGCUCUGGUCUCUUCCAUCCACAUACGGUUUGUUUUAAUGACUGUGGAGUUAUAUGAAUCUAUUAAUUUUUUUUUCCUGAAAGUUUCAUAACAACAAUGCCUGUUUUUUUCAUACAGCACUUUACAGCCACGCAUCUGGAAAUACAUUGCAAAUAGGCAAUUAGUAUCAGCCCUAUUUUGAAGAUGGAGAUACUCAGAGUCCAAGCAAGACAGCUAUUAAAGAACGGUGCCAAAAUUAGGCCUUUUGCUUCAUCUUGACAAGCUAGAACUACAGCCUCUUGAAGACAACAGGGAUGCAUGAAAAGCAUUUCAUUUAGCUAGCAGUAACUCUGUCUCAGGUUGGACAGACAAGAGGACAGCAGCAAAGACAGACUGACUCAUGCUAAACAACAGAGGUAGGAAGAGGACUUCCAGUAAUGACAGACUUAGGCCACUGCAAGCACUUACUUCCCAAAACCAGUGCUGAGGGAUCCAUCUCCAGUGAAGGGCUGACCAUCACAGGUUCCUGUUUUCUGAUAAGAGCUUGCUGCAUUUUUCCUCUCCACGUUUUUCAGCCUUUCCAGAUCUUCCUGUUAAAGCACAGAGUUGAAAACCAAUAAGAUAAUAUUAUUUGAGGCAAAUCUCUAACCCUUUAAUCAGGCUAUGUGGGAGGCAAGAAAAUGUUAGAUGCAAGGGAAUAUUAAAUUAAUAAUACUAUGUUGAAGUUGAGAUUAGUCAGAUUCCAGAGACAUAUAAUAACUAACUGCUGCCACCUCUGAUAUGGAUGUGUGGAGGCAAUGAGCAGGCUCACAGCAAGGAAGCAGGUCCUGGGCAGGACAAUGCUGCCAGACAUACUGUGGCAGUGCACUCAGCCCUUCACAUAGCUGCUGGAUGUAAUAGAACAGCCCCUGCAAAAGCUCAGAGCAGCCUUAUCCCAAAGUGCUGCACGGUCUUCCCACCUCUCCAUCGCAUCCAGCCCAACCUGGGGUGCUGCAUCCAGGGGUGCCCAGUCCUGUCUGGUGUUCCUGGAUCCCUGCUCACAGGUGGGAUGCUCAGGAGUGUCAGUGAUGGGAGUGAAAAUGAGGUGAACAGGUAAGAAUACAGACACUAUAAAGAAGUGAAGAGUGAAGAAACAUUUGGAAGAAAAACACAAAGGAAUUAAAGAUAUCUAGAGUGAAAGAGAUGGUGAAUGGCCUGAAGGGAGUUAAUGAGAUCCAGAAAUGCAAGUUGGAGAAAUGUUGAUUUUAUUUAGCAUUAAUUGCAGGAAAGAGCCUAUAAAGUGUGGUAAAAAAAUUAUUAAGUACCACUAUGCAAUGCCAGCUUUAUGCCAGCCAUCCCUACGAAGCAGGUGUAUUAUUCCUAGUUCCCUAGGUAUAAAUAAAUAACUGCUUUUCCAUGGUUUUCUUUUUUUUUUUUCUUUUUUAAAUGAUGGCUUUUCAUUAAUUUUUACUGCCAUAUUGUUAUAGUUCUGAUUCCUCCAGAGCAGCUCUGGGGAUCAGUUGGUGCUGGAGUGUGUGUAUGCAGGUUGGUACCUGCGAGCCAUGGGGCACUGCAUGGGAGAUGCAGUGUCUGUGAUCAUAGCACCCCAGGGGUGCAGCCCUGGUCUUCUUGCCCAUGGACUAAACAUGACCUCACCCAUGGUCUGAGCUCUGACAGCAACAUCUGGGUAAAUACAGAAAGGAACCUGAUGGAAAAUGGACAGUUUGAUGGUUGAUGGACAGUUGAAGGGUGAUGCAUUUUGCAUUGAGGGCUCAUACAGCAAAGCCCAGAAGGAACAGACGGACCACGUUACCCAAGAAACCUUUCCCAAGAUUGAGGUUGCCCUGGGAAAGAACAUUCUGAGGGACAUCACCACGAUGCAAGCACUGGUAUCAUGUCAACCCAUUGGUUGUGGUGUUGGCCUCUGGUGUCAGGGACGGGGAGUUGGGCUUCCCAUGCCACCACAGCCAUCCAGCACUCCUGACUGCACACUCCAAGACAAGAAAAGAAAAGGGAAAAUAAAACCUAUGUUCCGUUCCACUUUUAACUUUCUGCUCAUGCCCAUACAUUCCUCCUGGCGUUAUUACAAACGGGCUCCAAUGUUGCCUUUGUUAAGAAUGAGAGCAGAGCACAUUUCCCCGAGCAAUGUUUGUAUCAGCAUUUUCAGGCUCCUUUUAUCGAGUCUCGCACUUCUCAGAGGAGACUCAGCGGGGAGAUGAGCUCUGGAUGCGUUUUCCUAGCAACGUCUCGCUUCAGAGAGGCCACCAAAGACGUUCAGGGAAGCAGUGAUUCCCUGGUAGUGCCUCAGUCCAAGCUCUGACCUGGAACCGUGGGCUCAGCAAAUACACAUAAAUCUUCAGCUCACGUCCAAAUCAUCGCAAGGUUCAGUGAAAAUAGCAAAACUGCCAGUGGAUCUAACCGAAGUUUUAAUCCAGCUCCAGCAUGAUUUAUGGCCUCAGGUGGAAACCAUGAAGCACGAUGGCCUCAGCCCAAGCCAGGGGACGUUCGGCUGCCCCAGCCCUAAGGUGUUGUGUUACGGCACUGAAGAAUCAAGGCUGCAAGAGGCAUGGAUGAAACUGAACAGCACAAACACAUCCCAGCAACGCCUUCAACCUCUGUGCAUCACAGGCAGAGUAAGUGCCACUGAUAGAUCACACCAGCCUCCUCCACAAGGACGGAGGGAAUUAAAAAAAUACAUAAAAAUCAAAUAAUAAUAGGAGCAAGCGACCAAUAGAGGCAUUUUUUUCUGAUUAAAAAUAGCAAUUGACAAGCUCCACCAUUUGCAACAGUGCUUCCCUAAAUGCAGUAGUGCUAUGUUUGUCAGGACAUUUAUAAUGGCUUUAUAACACAUAUUUCCCUUUCAAAAUGCUAUUCAAUAGUAGAAAACCCACAUUCCAUCCACCAAAAAAAUAAGUCUCAGUGACCCAAUUUUCUAGAGAAGAAUGAAUGUCCUCUCCCUUCUGACUCUCAUUAGCCACCUGCAUAUUGGAAAACUAACAACAAGAGCAAUCAGCACACAGCACAAGGUCCCAGUGCCAUGACCAGAAGGGCUUUUGCCCCAUCCCUGUAUCAGCACAUCCCUAGGAACCUGCAACCAAUCCCUACCCCACAGCCAUCCCACGCAUCUGCAGCACUCCAUGGCUCAGCUGAGAAUACCACGCAGCCUGAGCUGACGUGGGCCGGUGAUUUAACAUCUGCAUCCCACCCUGGUGCCAAGCCUGUCUUUUUUCCAAUACUCAGCAUCCCUCCAUGCACAUGUAAAUAUCCAAAGGGAAACACUGCAGCAGAACUUUUGACCUGCACCAUAAUCCCAGACAGGACGUUAUAGCAACACCUGCAAUGCGCUCUGGCUUUUCCAGCUGAGAGCACUGUGAUCAUGGCACUGCCGUCCCCUCGGGGCACCACAGAUGACCAUGAGCUAAUGAGCACAGUGCAGACACUCUGCAGGAUUUUUGUUCUGAGGCGAUGAGAAAUGGUUCACCAGAAUUGGAGAACCCAAGCAGAGAUGCUCAGGAAGACGUAACCAGUGCCGAAUGAGUUCAGUUCUCCUCUCGUUUUGCCUUUAUACCACAAUGUCUCUGUGCAGACAAAACCUGAGAACUGUCUUCUGAUUUUUCAGACCAGUUUCUCAUCCCUGUGACAGCAGUGUGAUGUAGAGAUCACAAAACCCAGCCAGUCCCCAGCACUCCUUACUACAGCCUCACACAUCAGCCCUCGCACAUCCAUGCUGAGGUGGGUGCUGGCAAAAGCAAAAACCUUGGUUCUCUCCCUCUCUUCCAGUGGGAAACCAGAGAGAUCCCCAGCUCUUCUCAUUGGAAAAGUGUCAGCUUGCACUGAAAGGGUUUCUGCAGGUCCUAUGUUGUAAAUGAACAAAGAUUAAAAAAAAACACAACUUUUUUUUUUCCCUAAACUCAAGUGAAAGGAAGAGUGUGACAAGGAGUCAGGAGUCUGUCUGGCGUGGAAUAUUCCUGCAGCACUCGGGGCUGUGGUUUAUUUUACUGGUGGUGACUAGUUCAAGCCACAUUUAGUCAAUAAAUAUGAGAUAUGAGGUCACCCCGCCAUUUAGCUGUUACCCUGUCUACAUAUUUCACAGCUGGGCAGUAACCUUUUAACUAGCGUCUACCUCGGUGGGGAGUCUCCAUAAAAAAAGAGCCAGGAUCCCUUGGUCGUGGUGGGGGACCCAGGCGCAGGAGCUCCACAAGGAGUUCUGAGCAGAAGGGCCUGCACCAGGCUCUGCCUUUUGCUCUCAUGCCCAUUUGCAGCGCACAGCACCCAGCUGGGCUACGUGCAGGGAUCGGGUGAUGGAGCCACAUCCCAUGUGCUGAGCUCUACAAUAAGAUCCCCCUUCUUCUACGUGGAGAUAGGCCACAUGACAAGUUUCCUGUAAUUCCCAGCUUUGGGAGCACCUAUCCAAGGUGAAUGUUUCCAAGGAGCUCAACACCUUCAAAGGGUUUGUUCUCCUCUGCCUGGGUCCACAGCUUCUCCUGUGUGCCUUUGCCUUACUCCAGAAAUGAGGGUAUCUCUGUGUUUCUGAGCUCAUAACUCAGGCUAAGUCUGCCAAAGAUUAAACACCCCUGAGCCCAUUGCUCACAUUUCCCACGAGCACGAGAGUAACAGUUCCACACACAGCUGGGAGAGGAUGGUGCAUCCCCAGCUCUGCCCCAGCCUGGUGGGAAACCUCCAGGCUUCAAGUAAGGGAUUCUGAUGCUCCUGUCCCCCUCUGGCACUGCCCAUGAGAAAGCAGUGAGCAUGAGCACAGCCUGAGCCAAAGCUCCUGGCCAACCUCCAGAGAAGUGUGCGCAUCCCCACCAAAACGAAACACGAGUGGACGUGGCAAGAAACGCGCAGGGAAGAGAAAGCAAACAAAAGCAAAAGAGAGAGGCCACGCAGAGGGAGGAGAGCUGUGAGGCAGAGCACAGAGCUGCGCUAUUUGCUCCGCAUGCUGUGCUGCAGCACACGGAGCCCUGGGGCCUGGGCUGGCACUGCGUGUAGUGCCCAAGAGGGAGAGGCAGGCAAGCAGCGAGCUCCUGCCCCUGGCACACUGGGAAUCCCAGCCCAGCUCUGCCUCCCGACGUCACGCUAAGGCUCAGCACCAACACGGCUCCUCCCAGCUCUGCUGGAGCCUCCGAAAUCGGAACCUCUGCUGUCAGCUGCCUUUUAUAGGGCUAUAAAACCGACAGCUCGUGGGCAGACGUUGGCCAGCAUCAGCCUCUGCCACCUUCAGCAUUGCUCCUGCACAUGGUCCCCAGAGCCACACUCCCCAGAGCCACCUCCUGGUACCCAGCCAACAGCCCCACAGAUGGACAAGCAGACAUGGACAGACGGACAUACAGAGCCACAGAUAACUUGGCCAGACAGAAGAAGAGAAAAGAGAUGCAGCAAAUCUCAGCACCUUAAGCAAGGGUUGCUCAUCACUGGCCCUGAGGUCUCUGAACCAAGAAAACACCACUUCCAAAGGGGCUGCUGCUGGGGAACUGCUCAAAUCUGU